rnacentral:lncRNA from 10 species
GAAGUUUAGAGAGGGAGGCGAGAGACUGGCGUUUAGAAAUUAGAUCAGGGGUGGAGGGAAGAGGGAAAUGACCAUCCGAUAAUCAAACCAUUUAAUGUUGUUCUUUGAAUCAGGGCAAUCGCGGCGGUAGAUGAACUUGAUUAGGCAGACGCGUGAGAUCAAAGUGGCCGGGACCAAAGCGGACAGGGUCCAACGUGCCAGCACUGCCAAGAGAAGGCCUUUUGUACUCAGGUUAAAUAAGAACAUCCUGCAAGGAGUCUGUUCUUUUAUGCAGCCUAAAGAUCAAGUAAUAAUCAUUGACACUGAUACUGAGCAUGUCGAUUUUGAAGAGACUAGCAUGAACCUUGAAGAAUCAUGUUCUUCCUAGGAAUUACAAAUCCCCCGAUUCCAUGUCUAACAUAAUUUCUACUGGCCUCUUUGCUUCUCAUGCUUUAGUACCAGUGCUUCUGAAUUUGAAAGUCUUCAUGCAAAUUGCCCAGCUGACAGGGCAGCCACUGUUGAGGAAAUGCUGAUCACAACAUCACAGGUAAAGGAGAAUGUAAUGAAGCAAGAACUGGCUCUUAAAGCUUCUGUUUGCAGCAGUGACAAGGCUCACCUUUCAACCGCCAAAGCAAGUCAAAAAGCCAAACCUGACUUACAUGGCACAGAAAAGUGCCCCAGGGAGGGAAAUCAGACAUUGAUGAACUGUGGCCAAAAUCCAGCUGAGCCAGCGCUCAGGUCACCAGUAUCAUUUCUCCCCAGAGGACUAAGAGUCCUCCUGCAAAUUAACUCCUAGUAUCCUGCACUGAUGUACCAGAUACCAGAGGUGGGUAUACAUAUACAUUUUUGGCUUUGCAAAUCAAGACAUGGGUCUAUUCCUUAACAAAAAGUAGCUUAUUAUUCAUAGCCCAUUUUAAUAUGUUAAUUGAAAGAACACUUCUAUGGGUGGAAUAUAAAUGCCAUUUAACAUUUCUGAGAGCAUUUAUAGGCUUUGGAUGUCCAUGAUUCUUUACAGAGUUAUUUUUUUCUGUUUACCUCAUU